CGUAACUAGUUCCGCGCAUUCGUGUGUAUUUCGGGCCUAAACCUCGCACGAGGUUAAGGUUUAGGAAGUAAGAAGUAAUUAAGGACAAAAGACCACUCGACUCAUCAACGGACAAGCACUUGAACUUGUUUAGGCAAGACAAAUGUUAAGUCAAUAAAGCGUAUUGGCAGGCUUCCACGUGUGUUCGAGAUUUAAAAGUGCGCAAUAGAUGCGUAGCGUUGUUGUGAAUGGUCACUGAAAGUACUCAAAAUAAUACGAAAGUCAGAGCAGUUUAAAGCAAAGACAAUUAAUUGAAUCAAGCGAAGCGAUGGGCAAAUUUCAAGCAUCCAUUCUGUUACGGUUGGUCGUUCUUUGGGCAAAUGUGAUCUCAGCAUCUCAAACCGAAGAAUGUGAUCACAAUUUGGGUAUGGCCUCGCGUGACAUAAAGACGAACAGAU